GAUUAUCAAAAUGAUGACAUUGCAUGACGACGUUAACAGGUCACAGGCGUGUUGGUUUAACUGCUGUUGCAGAAAGUGAAGAAUAGGAGUUAGUCAGAUGGGGAUGUUAUAUGCUGGUCCUGCGUGAACGAUCACGACCCCUUGACACGAAAAAUGACUGCCACAGAGACACCAACAUUUCAGAAGCAGAGAAUUACUGAAUUACUGCAAUAUUGCUGAAAUACCUCCCAUUUGGUUUCAAACAAAUACAAAUCAAUCAGCCUCAGAAUUUCCAUGGAAUUUGUGAAGAAUAUAAAAACAAAAUUUUGCAAAUGCUAUUGACACUGUAUGAUGGUUAGAUUUGCUAUUGAAGUACAGUAUGCAUUAUGAUGGCAGAGUUAGUGUAACAAAUAAUUAUAUUCUGUUAAACAUUGAUGGAAGCGGACGCACACAUUAACGAUGGACUUUACUUUGAUGUAAGGAUUUUGCUAUGACAUUGUGUAACUUUUACAAGACGUGUUCUCCGGUUAAGAAGGUAGGUUUUGUAUGAUUGAUUUUAUUUCUAAGAAAGGAAACAUUGAACAAUGUCAUUCUAUCAAAGUGUCAUAUAUUAAACCUAUUUUUAUGUUUCUGU